UACGGAGGAUCCAAGCGUUAUCCGGAAUUACUGGGUGUAAAGAGUUGCGUAGGUGGCAUAGUAAGCAAGUAGUGAAAGCGUUCGGCUCAACCGGAUAUCCAUUACUUGAACUGCUAAGCUAGAGAAUGAGAGAGGUCACUGGAAUUCCCUGUGUAGGAGUGAAAUCCGUAGAUAUAGGGAGGAACACCGAUGGCGUAGGCAGGUGACUGGCUCAUUUCUGACACUAAGGCACGAAAGCGUGGGGAGCAAA
rnacentral:rRNA from 1 species